UACGAAGGGGGCUAGCGUUGCUCGGAAUCACUGGGCGUAAAGGGUGCGUAGGCGGGUCUUUUAAGUCAGGGGUGAAAUCCUGGAGCUCAACUCCAGAACUGCCUUUGAUACUGGCGAUCUUGAGUCCGGGAGAGGUGAGUGGAACUGCGAGUGUAGAGGUGAAAUUCGUAGAUAUUCGCAAGAACACCAGUGGCGAAGGCGGCUCACUGGCCCGGUACUGACGCUGAGGUGCGAAAGCGGUGGGGAGCAAACAGG
rnacentral:rRNA from 1 species